rnacentral:rRNA from 1 species
AUUGAACGCUGGCGGCAUGCCUAACACAUGCAAGUCGAACGAAGCCUUCGGGCUUAGUGGCGCACGGGUGCGUAACGCGUGGGAAUCUGCCCUUGGGUUCGGAAUAACAGUUAGAAAUGACUGCUAAUACCGGAUGAUGACGUAAGUCCAAAGAUUUAUCGCCCAAGGAUGAGCCCGCGUAGGAUUAGCUAGUUGGUGAGGUAAAAGCUCACCAAGGCGACGAUCCUUAGCUGGUCUGAGAGGAUGAUCAUCCACACUGGGACUGAGACACGGCCCGGACUCCUACGGGAGGCAGCAGUGGGGAAUAUUUGACAAUGGGCGAAAGCCUGAUCCAGCAAUGCCGCGGGAGUGAUGAAGGCCUUAGGGUUGUAAAGCUCUUUUACCCGGGAUGAUAAUGACAGUACCGGGAGAAUAAGCUCCGGCUAACUCCGUGCCAGCAGCCGCCGUAAAAC